rnacentral:snRNA from 1 species
UCGCUUUGGCAGCGCAUAUACUAAAAUUGGAAUGAUACAGAGAUUAGCAUGGCCCUGAGCAAGGAUGCCAUGCAAAUUUGUGAAGUGUUCCAUAUUUUU